CAGAUCUUCCGGGCGACUUGCCCUAUAAGAAAUUGGAAAAUGCUACAAUAAAACCCGAAAAACUGAAAAAAAAUAAUGUGGCAACUUUACUAUUAAAAGCCCGGAAGCCAUCGAUCGUUAAGACACUCCUUUUAAUUGGAAGUUACCAAACGACAGCGAAGUAGCAGAGAUCAUUCAUGGAAAGCCGCCUUCCAUGUAGAAAAUGCCACUGCAAGUACAACUAAAGGAAUCAGAUGGCAGUGGAGUGAGCUUGGUUAAGAGGCUGUAACUCCUCUGUGUAUUCUUCUCCAGGACAGUCUUUUCAACAGUAUGAUGAAGUGAGCCCCUGCACAGAGUGACUCCCCAGGAAGAGAAAACGAGGUAGGACAAAUCUCCAACAUGACUGAUUACUGUCCCCACCAUCUCCCCUGUUCAUAUCUACAACAAUAUCAGGCAUCUUCAUUAAUCCCCAUGGAUCAAUGUGUCUGGGGGUUGUAAAAAUUGACAAAUGACUUAUUAGAAUCCCACCGUUUUAUUUUCCAACUGAUUAACUCACAGCAAUGUCGUACACUAUACAGGCACACUGAUGUAUCUGUUUUCCAAAGAGCGCUUCUCUCUC